GUUUUAUCCACCUGGAAUCACCUGAACGUCAUGAAAACGGCUAAUCUCAUCUUCUUCAACCUCUACAAACAACAAACUGCACAUCAGAGCCAACAUCUGAUGAAGCAGGGGUGUCAAACAUACGGGCCAGGGUCCAGAACCAGCCCAGCAAACAGCCCCUGAAUGACUCUGGACACCUAAUACUGAUGCACUUGUGAAGGCUCAGAGUUGCCAGGUUUCAGGAGCAAGUUAAACAGAGACACAGGAAGUUUCUCAAAGUCAGGGAAGGGUCCUUAAAUGGCUGAAUUUCAAGGACGUCAUCAAAUCCCACCUAAGGACUGUUCCAAUGUCAAGGACCCUUCAGAUUCUACCGAGGACUGAGUCCAAGGAUGCA